UGGCAUUUUCAAGUCAUGGAGAAGGUGGA
rnacentral:piRNA from 1 species